GUAUCUUUUAAAAGGAGAAACAGUUACCACUCCUUUUCACAAGGAUGUAACACACAAAAUGGUUAAGGCACAACUUGUACACAUUUCUCAACUGUCUUUUUUU